rnacentral:lncRNA from 1 species
AAGAAUUGUGGAAUCAACCUCAGGUGAUGAGGGCUUGAUGUUUGAAGCUUUAAAUCUUCAUGAUGAGCUUCGACAAGUCAUUUCCAAGUACGAGGAAAUGGAAGCAGCUCUGGAGUCGGGAGAAAAACUAGCUAAAAGACCUGAAGAUGGAAGUGGCCUGCCCAAUACAGCCCCAGAGGCUGGAGAAAAACUGCCUAAAACACCUGAAAAAGGAAGUGGCCUGCCCAAUGUUGCUGAUAUCAGUGAAGCCAAUUUAGAGAAGCUGUCUUUAAAUGCAUGUGAAAGCCAUGCUGUAGCCCCUACAAAUGAAGAAAACAAUCGGUCACACCCCGAGGUUGUAAAACCGGAUAUUUCAGGGGAAUAGAGGCUGAUUAGAUGAGCCUAAAACACCUGAAGAUGGAAGUGGCCUGCCCAAUACAGCUCCAGAGGCUGGAGAAAAACUGCCUAAAACACCUGAAAAAGGAAGUGGCCUGCCCAAUGUUGCUGAUAUCAGUGAAGCCAAUUUAGAGAAGCUGUCUUUAAAUGCAUGUGAAAGCCAUGCUGUAGCCCCUACAAAUGAAGAAAACAAUCGGUCACACCCCGAGGUUGUAAAACCGGAUAUUUCAGGGGAAUAGAGGCUGAUUAGAUGAGGCAAACCAGGUGUGGUAGUGUUUUUUGUUUACCCUUCUAGUUUAUCAGCUAUGUAGUUUUAUUUUUCAAUAACGAGUGCAUCUGUUUUUGUGCAUAUGUAUUACUGGGCAUAACUAUCAAACUUCAGCUUGUAAUAACUACAUGUGAUUUCAAGUUAUAAUUCCGGAAGUGGCAUUCCGUCCAUCAGCUGACUAUUCUCUUGUGAAUUUGAAACCUUGUCACCUUUGCCUUGUGUGAGAAUUAGCUACAUCAACAACAACAACAACAACAACCCAGUAUAAUCCCACUUAGUGGGGUCUGGGGAGGGU